GAUGAACGCUAGCGGCAGGCCUAACACAUGCAAGUCGAGGGGGAAGUUACUUUCGGGUGACUGAGACCGGCGUACGGGUGCGUAACGCGUAUACAAUCUGCCUUUCACUGGGGGAUAGCCCGAAGAAAUUUGGAUUAAUACCCCAUAGUAUAUAGGGACGGCAUCGUUUUUAUAUUAAAGCUUAGGUGGUGAAAGAUGAGUAUGCGUUCUAUUAGCUAGUUGGAGAGGUAACGGCUCCCCAAGGCGAUGAUAGAUAGGGGUUCUGAGAGGGAUGUCCCCCACACUGGUACUGAGAUACGGACCAGACUCCUACGGGAGGCAGCAGUGAGGAAUAUUGGACAAUGGUCGGAAGACUGAUCCAGCCAUGCCGCGUGCAGGAUGAAGGUCUUAUGGAUUGUAAACUGCUUUUGUAAGGGAAGAAUAAGGGCUACGCGUAGUUUGAUGACGGUACCUUACGGAUAAGCAUCGGCUAACUCCGUG
rnacentral:rRNA from 1 species